rnacentral:tRNA from 1 species
GGCCUCGUAGCUUAGGUAGUUAGAGCGUUGGUUGCACUGAAGCCUUCCCCUUGCUGUCGUGGGUUCGAGUCCUACUGAGGCCG